rnacentral:lncRNA from 1 species
UGCCAAAAAAAGUCAGUGUCUAUAUGCUGAGACCACAUUGAGAUAACGUUCAAAAUUUUAGUGGGCUUUAUAGGUAAAGAAGACAUCUUAAAUUCUGUGUGGUUAGACUUGCUGCUAAUCUGAAAUCGUGUAUGCAGGUCCUCUAAUGAGCACAAAAAGAUGAGCAUUUGAAUAUUACCAAUGAGAUUAGCCAAAAGACUGAUACCAAAGAAAACUAUGAGCUUUUAAAUGGAAGAAAAAGUAAGUUUCACAAAUAGUAUCUAGACAUUUAGACUCAGGGUGCUACCAGUGCUCAGCUAGAAUCACAAACUGGUAACCACAGCAUUUUUAGAAUACUGGUUCUGCUUAAUAUGGAAAUGUUUAGGAGUAAUAUUCAGUCUUCAUACCUGUUGCUGGAAAUAACCUUAGGAACACUUGCCUUGUAACUGUACUAUGCUAAUCAAGAGAACUAUGUUCAGCUGCUUGUCCUGCUAACUUGGAAGAAGGGUUUCUUGCUGGGACAUGCAGAAACAAUCCUGAGUAUAGUUCAGGUGUUAAUAUGGUCCCAAACCAUUUCCCAGGAGAGAGUUUGUGUCUGCUGGGCUCUGUUGUGUAAGGUUCAGUAGUGUGGAUAUGGGCUAUGGCAGUGGAACUCUAUGUCAGACAAAAUUCCUGAGCCUGGGUGAGUGUGGAUUUAUCUGUGCCAACAACCUGCUAAUCACAUUUUUCUUUGGGAGUUUGUUCUGAAGCUGAAGAGAGUUGUAGUGACUCACUGCGGAUUGACAGAUGACACUAGAACUUGAUCUUUCCCAAGGCAGAUCUUCCUAUGAGUAAGAGAACUUGUUUUCUGAUUCAAGAGGAAGAAGGGGUUUUGAGAAAGAAAGUUUCUGAGUUGUUCUGACCUAAUCACCUCUUUAAUUACUCAGCGACACUGCUGAAGUGAUUUACAGGUUCAUGGCAAAUAACAGUGUGGUAUCAAAGCCUGCAACAAACUCAAAUCCAUAUCACACCAACAGUUGUGUCCACAAAUUGAGAUGAGUAGUAGCGUUCCAGUACCUGGAGAACUGCAGUGCAUACAAGGAAACGCUUGAAGAUUUGUCCUUCAUGAGAAAAAGAUGUGAUAGUUGAUUUAAGAGACCCUAUCCAAGGACAAACAGGAGAGCAUAGUAGAUCUAGCUAUACUGAUUAUGUCACUUUCAGUAUUUAGAUUCAGUGUGUUUGUUGGCCAAGCAUACACUCUGCAUUUGUAAGAAGGC